CAGGACUCGCAAGACUCCUACAACCCUGUGAACUUAACUAUAAGCACGUUGCUUCGGCGGGUGUCUCGGCGAGGGUCCUCCCUCCCCGGGGCGCUAAGCCCGCCGGCAGCCUACUAUACUCUGUCUCUUUGCGUUGGCAUCUCGAGUACAAUCAAACAAGUUAA
rnacentral:misc_RNA from 1 species